UACGGAGGAUGCGAGCGUUAUCCGGAUUUAUUGGGUUUAAAGGGUGCGUAGGCGGACUGUCAAGUCAGCGGUAAAAUUGAGAGGCUCAACCUCUUCCCGCCGUUGAAACUGGUGGUCUUGAGUGGAUGAGAAGUACGCGGAAUGCGUGGUGUAGCGGUGAAAUGCAUAGAUAUCACGCAGAACUCCGAUUGCGAAGGCAGCGUACCGGCAUCCAACUGACGCUGAGGCACGAAAGCGUGGGGCUCAAACAGG
rnacentral:rRNA from 1 species